rnacentral:tRNA from 1 species
CGUGGGGUACGCGGAUGGCAUAGCGGUCGGACACGUAAUCCGAUGGGGUGUGGGGCUGGUACUGGUGUCACACCUGCGCAGGUUCAAAUCCUGCCCCCGCGC